GCUCAAGGAAGGAGGGGAAGGGGAGAUGGCCGGAGGGGGUCACCGCACAACGGGGAGGGGACCGGCCCUGGAAGCACGUCCGGGAGUAAAUCCCGAGCCCCAGGCCGACGCCCGGGGCAGUGACGGCUGCGCAGCCGGAGCUCCUCAUUCCUGCUCUGCGGUUCCCGAAGGCUCCAUUGGGAGCGGCGGAACAACCGCAGGGCAGCGCAGCUCCCCCAGCCCUCCCCAGCCAGGGUGUCACAUCAGCCCGGUGUCACCACGGCCGCCUGUCACCUUCACUCCUGCGCCUCGGGGUCGCUGCCCUACCCCGCUGGGACCUGCUGGCUGCUCCGGACCCCUCGCCUGACUCCCGGGAGGGGAGAGGAUCACCGGGGCCCCGCAAACCCGAGCAGAAAAGUGUCAAGAGUCACCAGCAGGUUGUUUAUGUGUGUGCCACCCUGACAGUGUGCAUGUGGGAGAGUGACUAUGAAGCAGCAUCAGCAGAAACACCACACUGCACUCAGGAUUACAUUUUGGAUGAAGUUUUAGCCAGCAGAAUUUAUUACAAGGAUCAAUUAAAAAAAAAAAAAAGGAAGGAAGGAAGGAAGGAAGGAAGGAA